AGUAAUGGUCUAAUGGAGGUCAGUCGCAGGAUCGCCAGCUGAGAGAAGAUACCUACGACGAGGGAUGGUCACGGGGAAUCGAACCUCCUUCCCCUCGGGUUGCCUGUUUAUACCACGUGCCCUGGCGCCGGUGAUGAGCCUUACUGUGAGAAUGCGGAGUGGAAGUUCUGGAAAUGAAUGGACUGGCACAUCACUGGAGUUUCGAGAGGACAAGCUGGAGCAGGGUAGUGCCGCCCCCAUGACAAGCUAAGCAAGCCCACGGGGAGCAGAAGGAAGAAGCGAAAUGUGCUGUACCAGUCCAGCAUUUAUUUGGUUGAUGGCUGAGAAGCUACAUGAAGACCAUUUGCUCCUUGGAGACGGCAGGCAGCCACAAGUGAAAGGCAAGUGUCCUUGCAUGAUAUAAUAAAACAUACCAGUACUAGUCAGCAUAACCAAUGUAAUGCUUUAUUAUAUAAUAAAACAUACCAGUACUAGUCAGCAUAACCAAUGUAAUGCUUUAUUAUGAAUUUGUAAAGUUAAUUUUAAGAGUAUUAAAACAAAGAGCAAGAUUUCAAUCAGUAUUUUUACAUUAGAGAUUUUACAAUAGCUUUGAAAAAAUCCCGUAAUUUAACCGGGGAUUGAACCCUGGUCUUCUGUGUAGAAGUCUGGGCAACAAACCACUGAGCCACUGAUGAGCUAAAAGGUCACAGCACCAGAGACCACCUCUGUGGCGCUACACCUGAUGCCCCACCUGCACACUGUGGGCACGAGAGAAAAGUGACCUCGCUCACGCUCCUGGUAGCUGGAGAUGCUUUUUCAACAGAUAAUGGCACAUAGUGUAUUUAUAGAUUUUGACUGCAUUAUUGCGGCUUCUCUAAUGUAUAAAUAGACUGUGCCGUUGCAGGUUGAUUAACUCUACCUGCCAGGAGUGAGUGAGGUCACCUUUCCCUCAUGCCCACAUGCAGGGCUGGGAUGUCAGGCAUUGUGCUGCAGGAGUGGCCUCUGAUGUGGUAACCUUUUAGCUCACCAGUGGCUCUGCUGGUUUGCUGCCUUGACUUUCACUCUGAAGGUCCAGGUUCAGUUCACUGCACUCUGUGGUAUUAACAUUACAGGAAUCUGUGAGGAAUGUAGCCAGUCACUGAUGUCCCUCAUGUGCUGUACUGCUGGGUGACUGAGGUGCAUUGUGACAAAUAAUGAAGUGUUUGUAACUACAAUAUUUUUUUCAGAUUGCGUUCUCUUCAAAUGCUACAUCUCUGGAGACUGCCCUGCUACUGCAACACCUUGUGCAAAAUGAUCUCUGCUGCAUGGUUUCAUGUGGUGCCCUGUCAUGUGUGAGAGCCUUGUUGGCUGACUAGUUGUCAGUAAAUAAGCAGCUUUUAAUGUAAGAGUCAGAGACUCCACCUCUUUGAAGUUUUGCUUUUGCUUUUUUUUUUUUUUUUUUUUUUUAA